rnacentral:rRNA from 1 species
UACAGAGGUCUCAAGCGUUGUUCGGAUUCAUUGGGCGUAAAGGGUGUGUAGGUGGCUGGGUAAGUCGGAUGUGAAAUCCCGGGGCUCAACCUCGGAACUGCAUUCGAUACUGCUUUGCUUGAGUACUGGAGAGGAGAUUGGAAUUUACGGUGUAGCAGUGAAAUGCGUAGAUAUCGUAAGGAAGACCAGUGGCGAAGGCGGAUCGCUGGACAGUUACUGACACUGAGGCACGAAGGCCAGGGGAGCAAACGGG